rnacentral:tmRNA from 1 species
GGGGGCGACAUGGCUUCGACGUGGGUUGUGAAGCUUAAGGAGCAUGCCGGGGCGCACGAGGUCCUCGUUAAAAACGUGUAAUUUGUAAUUGGCAACGAUUACGCUCUAGCUGCCUAAUUAGUGUAGCUCGCCGACCUUAUCAAUGAUGGCGGGGUAAGGAAGGUGUCACUUUAGUCAUCUCGGUGAGUGUUGAUCUCUUCAGGGCACUGACUUAAAUAAAACUGAGGGGAGGGUUGUAAAAAGUUUGUUUGUGGACGCUUUACAACUUACUCAAAACACAAACUAAGCAUGAAGCGCCUUAAUGUGGAUAGCUUGCGGACGCGGGUUCGAUUCCCGCCGCCUCCACCA